GGCCCGCGUGGGUGAGGGCCUGCUCGAGCCUCGGGAGAGUUGCAUUUCUCCGGAGAAGAGCGGGAAAAGGGCCAGGACAGCCCUCUUUGCUUUGCAGAAUGCUUGAGCAAAAAUCCAUUCCUUGGAGAACCACACUGGCUUCAAGUUACCAACCCUUCACACUUAUUAGGGCCAUCUAGGGGAAACAGCCCUAGAAGAGGCGGCGGCUUUAACGUCAGAACACUUGGAUUCAUUUCCUGUGCUGCUGUUUCCCAGCUGUAACAAGGCUUUAAAUCCUUCCCAGCCUCAUUUUCUUCCUCUGAAAUGGGCACAAUACUGAAAUGAGGAAUCGAGGAGAUACAGUAUGGAAAACAUUUAGGAACGGUCCCUAAAGAGCGGAUGACCCCUAGCAUGAGACUCAGACGAGAAGCGGGGAGAGGAGUCAGAGAGUGAGACAAGAUCCAACUUUGGCAUCUGAAGGUUUUUUGAAGGAGUGGACAUCAGACCAGGGUUUAAAAGAAAGGUGGGUGUUAAGAAAUAGAAAUGGGAGAGGUGGCUGGAAGCAGAAGGGCGUUCUAGGCCGAAAGAACCCAACGAGCAAGGCCCUGGAAGCGAGAAAAUUCGAGUGAGUUCUAGGAAUAACUUGUUUUGUCAGGGGAACCAAUCGGGUCACAAAGCAAGACCGCCUGUGGUGAAGGGGCCAGGUCACUUAAGGUUCUUGCAUAGAUGGUUAUUGACCGACCAACUGACUGAUUGAUUUAAAGUUGUCCUGUGAGUUCUUCAGAGAAACUGGUGCCGGAACCACUGAGCUACAUCCCCAGCCAAACAUACUCUUGAUUGUUGGCAUGAUUCAGUUCCUCAGGCUGUUCACCGAGGGCUCCAUUGCUUGCUGACUGUUGGUUGAGACACAUCUCAGUUCCUUGUCAUGUGGGGCUUGCCAUAGAGCAGCUGGCAGUACAGAGACUGGCUUCCACCACAGAGAGAAGAGAGCGCCAGCAAGCCAAAAGAUAGUCUGUCUGUCCCUGGAAGUAUGGCGUCUGUAUUUGUCUGCUUUCUGUUACUAUAAGAAACUACCUGGGGCUGUAUAACAUGUUCAAAAUGAGGUUUAUUCAGAUGACAGUUUUGGAAGCUCAAAGUCCAAGCAGCCUGCCUCCUGUGAGGUGAGGCUGCCCCUGGCGGCAUCCCCCUUGUUGGAGGGUACUGCAGCAUGAGUGUGUGAACACGGGAGAGAUCACAUGAUGAGACAGCAUUCAGAGUGAGAGGAGCGGCCAGGGUUGCUCUUUUUAUACCCAUUGUCUGUUGAGAACUAACUCAGAGUCCUGCAAGGACCCUGUAACCUCUUCCUAGAGUGGAGCCCCACUGGAUGCCACCUCUGCACCGCUGCACGGAGAACCAACCCCUGCCACAUGAAUCUUGGGAGACACCCUCAGACCAACCCCGACCACAGCAACAUCCCAUCACGUUGUCUUAUCGUAUUCUUUAGGAGGAAGUCACUGGGUCUCACCUGUGCCCAGUGGAGGAGACUGCACAGGCUGUGAAUAUCAGGAAGCUGGGAUCAUUGCGGGUGCUUUUAUUCCGAGACUUAGCACACAGCCUUCACUGCCUGGAGCACUCCCUUCCCUCAUGGCAGCCCUGAAAGCCUCAUGCAGAUCGGCAGCUCCUCCUCGUUCACACAUCUGUCAUCUGGUGAUCACAGUAACAACGUAACCAUAACCGUAACCGCCAGCCCUCACUGAGGAGUUCCUCUGACCCCGACAUUGCUCUCGGCCCUUUUCGUGCCUUAAGUGAACAGUAUGUAGUUCUUCCUGUGGCAGGGCCGAGAGGCAUUCCUCCAGCAAUGGUGUAGCAGGGUCCCUUCAGCGCGCCUCUGCUAAGCUGGGGAGAGCUUGGUAGUGGACCCGAGUCUUCGAACUCAAGGACUUUAUAGGCCAGAGUAAGAGACAGAAAAGCACAAAAGCAAGUAGAAUGCAACCUGAAGUGCUGUAAUAAGCCUAAGUGAAGGGCAUUUCAUAGCGCACACACCCAACAAUUCUUGCUGGUGGUAACAUUUCAAUUCAAAUGUGAGGAAUAAGUAGCAGUUAGCCUGGAAAAAUAAGGAGGUUAGAUGUGCCAGGGAGAUGAAGAGCAAAAGUGAGGAAACAGAAACAAGCCUGAGGAGCAGUGGGGAACCACCAGUAGGGCUGCACAAAGCACGCAGGCGGAAGAGGAGCGAGAAACGCUAGUGCCAGUGAGCGGGUAACACGCGUGGGAGGAGGCACUGCUCUGGGCUUGCACGUGUACCUCCCCCCUCCAGAGUAACCCCCCAGUGCAGGAGGCACACUUUUAUAGCUGGGGAAACUGACUCACGGCACACAUCUGAAAUGUGACAGCUGUAGGCGCCAGCAGGACGGGGUGUGGGGCUGUGGCAGAUCAAAGCAUCUGGCCUGAACCUGAGCUCUGGUCGGACCAAAGGAGGCCACCUAGUUGACACUUCCGGCGGGGUGGGGAAUGGAUGGAGUGGGCAGGACGGGAGGCAGGGAGCCUCUCUGGGAAAGGGAUGCGAUGCCGUAGGGGGCGGCACACGGCCACCCGAGCUGAGGUGGCAAAGUAGAGGAGAGAGGAGGAGAGCUAGGUUCUGGGCAUGAUUCCAUAAAACCGGAAAGAAGCUGGGCUGGGGAACAUGGCUCGGUGUCAUGGCGGGACUGGCUACAUUGAGAUGCCAGAAAGAUGGGCCCACUGGGCAGCUGGACAUGGUGUAGUGUUCCAAUGCGAAGGCAGAGACUGGG
ensembl:lncRNA